rnacentral:lncRNA from 1 species
UUGAAGCUUUAACAAGAAUAGGUGGAAUAGAUCUAAAACAAGAUUUACCUAACAAAAAAUAUAUAUAUUCGUUGGGGGAGGGGAGCCACUGUAAAGCCAGACAUUUUAGUCUUUUCCCCAUCUUUUGAUUCUCUCUCUACCUGCUUCUCCCUUCAUUUAAAUAUUCGCCCACAGUCAAUCCUCUUUCUUGCCUUUGUAAAGUUCUGGUUCUAAGUAUGAGCUCACCAUAGAGACAGGAGCUACUAACAAUAGAAAAGAUUGUGUCCAUGACAACCAGAAAGACUCAAAGCAGUGGCUGACUUUAACCAUCUGGUCCUAGUCUUGUUCUGUAUAUUUCUCUUUUUGCCUCAUGGGUUUUGCUUACACUUUAUCAAAGUGCUGUCACACUGCUGCACAGAGAGGCAGGCAGGAAAGUGUCCAUGCUGCCUGUGGGGAGACGUGGGACAAGUAUCUGUAUAUAGUAGAUGCUAUAUGCGCAGUUGAGAGCAGAGGUGACAAUUUCCUACCAAAGUGCUAGCUCUGGAGGAGGCAGAAGACAGAUUUGGAAGCUAGACAAACAAGUUAGGGCUCGGGCGCUAACUCACCACCACUGGGAUUCAACCUGAGGAGCGUAUAAGGCAUGAACUCUGGCUUCAUGGUAAACAAGAAACGCUGGCUUCGUGGUAAAGAGUUUAGAGGUCAUGCUACUCAUAGGUAUGAGAAAAAUCUGAACAAAUUGAAGAUAAUGACUCUUCUUGGAACCAUCAGAGAAACUGAGCUCAUAGGAGAAACCACUAACUGAGCUCCGGAAAAUGGUCACAUCCUGGGAGAUGCAGCCUUCCAAAUUUACUUACCUGGAACAGAAGCCAUUAGAAACAAUCAUCUGGCGGGAGCACUUGCAUUAUUUUGCUGAGUUGCAGGAAGCUGAGUGCAGACUUGGGCAAAAAUGAGACUGGCAGCGGGGCUGCAGUGAUGGAAGAAGGGGACCACACUUACGAGGCUUCACUCCAGGAACCCCUCAGCUUCCUCUGGAGAUAAUGUGAGAAGGAUCUGGAUGAGAGAGGAGCAAAGUAUCAUUUAAAAACCACUUAUGGCUGGGCGUGAUGGCGCUCACCUGUAAUCCCAACACUCAGGAGGCUGAGGCAGGAGGAUCUCUGUGAGUUCAAGACCAACCUGGGCUACAUAAUGAGUUCCAGGUCAGUCUCAACUACAUAGUUAGACCUUGUCUCAAAAAAACAAACCAAAAAAACACUCACUAGGGCUGGGGAGCUAGCUCAGUGGUUCUGCCACAAGGUCCCAAGUUUGAUCCCCAGUACCAAAAGACAAAAACAAACAAACAAACAAACAAAAACCAUUUAUUAGUCUCCAGGUGGAAGGAGCACCUAAUAAAGGAAGGAACAAGGAUUACAGUGAACUUCUCAUCAGAAGCCAUGCAAAGAAGAGGACAGGAAAAUGGGUGAAACUGUUAAAAGGCUGAAAGAAGGAAAUCUAGAAUUUCACGCCCAGAGAAAUCAGCCCUCAAAAGUAAGGGAG